GACGGACGCUGGCGGCGUGCCUAAUACAUGCAAGUCGAACGCUUCUUUCCUCCCGAGUGCUUGCACUCAAUUGGAAAGAGGAGUGGCGGACGGGUGAGUAACACGUGGGUAACCUACCCAUCAGAGGGGGAUAACACUUGGAAACAGGUGCUAAUACCGCAUAACAGUUUAUGCCGCAUGGCAUAAGAGUGAAAGGCGCUUUCGGGUGUCGUUGAUGGAUGGACCCGCGGUGCAUUAGCUAGUUGGUGAGGUAACGGCUCACCAAGGCCACGAUGCAUAGCCGACCUGAGAGGGUGAUCGGCCACACUGGGACUGAGACACGGCCCAGACUCCUACGGGAGGCAGCAGUAGGGAAUCUUCGGCAAUGGACGAAAGUCUGACCGAGCAACGCCGCGUGAGUGAAGAAGGUUUUCGGAUCGUAAAACUCUGUUGUUAGAGAAGAACAAGGACGUUAGUAACUGAACGUCCCCUGACGGUAUCUAACCAGAAAGCCACGGCUAACUACGUG
rnacentral:rRNA from 1 species